AUUGAACGCUGGCGGCAGGCUUAACACAUGCAAGUCGAGCGGGGUGAUGGUGCUUGCACUAUCACUUAGCGGCGGACGGGUGAGUAAUGCUUAGGAAUCUGCCUAUUAGUGGGGGACAACAUCUCGAAAGGGAUGCUAAUACCGCAUACGUUCUACGGGAGAAAGCAGGGGAUCACUUGUGACCUUGCGCUAAUAGAUGAGCCUAAGUCGGAGUAGCUAGUUGGUGGGGUAAAGGCCUACCAAGGCGACGAUCUGUAGCGGGUCUGAGAGGAUGAUCCGCCACACUGGGACUGAGACACGGCGCAGACUCCUACGGGAGGCAGCAGUGGGGAAUAUUGGACAAUGGGGGGAACCCUGAUCCAGCCAUGCCGCGUGUGUGAAGAAGGCCUUAUGGUUGUAAAGCACUUUAAGCGAGGAGGAGGCUCUUUUGGUUAAUAACCAAGAUGAGUGGACGUUACUCGCAGAAUAAGCACCGGCUAACUCUGUGCCAGCAGCCGCGGUAA
rnacentral:rRNA from 1 species